GUUUGAUUGCAUGUCCUCUGAGUCUUGUGGUACAGNGGGAAAAGAUAUGAGUAUGAGCCCUGAGUCAAAUGCUACCCCUGCUUUUGUCUGACUUGAACAUUAUCACUGUUCCAUUUACAGAUGAGGAGAGGGAAGCUUGCUCAUAGUCACACGGUUAAGCAUCAGGGGAGUCAAGGUGCUUUUGCUAUCCUAUCUGGAAGGUCAGCUUCUCUUCUAAUUCAAUCUAUCCAAGCUUUCUAGAAGCUUUGGUCACAACUAAACGACCCAACUCUAAUUCCUGGGACGUGAGGAUUGCUCUGAGCUUUGCAAAUGCUCAGAGAGAGACAGAUAGAAAGGAGACAGAGAAAGAGGCAAAGAGAGAAGGAGAGAGAGGAGAGCCAGGGAGGGAGAAAAAGAGAAAGACAGAGACAGACAGAGAGACAAAGAUAGAGAAAAAAGACAGAGACAGAAAAAGAAAGACAGAGACAGAGAGACAAAUAUAUAUAGAGAAAAAGACAGGCAGAAAGAGAAAGAGAAAGAGACAGAGAGACAAAGAUAGAGAGAGAAAAAGACAAAGACAGAAAGAGAAAGACAGAAAAGAAAGAAAGAAAGAAAGAAAGAAAGAAAGAAAGAAAGAAAGAAAGAAAGAAAGAAAGAAAGAAAGAAAGAAAGAAAGAAAGAAAGAAAGAAAGAAAGGAAGAAAGAAAGAAAGAAAGAAAGAAAGAAAGAAAGAAAGAAAGAAAGAAAGAAAGAAAGAAAGAAAGAAAGAAAGAAAGAAAGAAAGAAAGAAAGAAAGAAAGAAAGAAAGAAAGAAAGAAAGAAAGAAAGAAAGAAAGAAAGAAAGAAAGAAGAGAAAUUCCAAUGACAGAUCCAAUGACCUUUUCUCCGGCCUUGUUUUCUUCCACCUCUCUGCAACCUUCGCUAUUGCCUCAAUACUCUCUUCCUUCUAGGUUUUCAGGUCAUCAUUCACUCUUAGUUCUCUCCCUAACUAUCUGACUACUUCUCAGGCUCCUUUGUAGAUCCUCCUCUAGGAUAGAUGCUCUAAUCACACACAGCUUUCUGUUCUGGGCCCCCUUUCUCUUCUCCUUCUAUACUACUUCACUUGGUGAUCUCAUCAGUUCUCAUGGAUUCAAUUAUUAUCUCUAUGAUGAUUUUCAAAUCUGUUUAUCCAGACAUAACCUCUUUGCUGACCUCCACCUUCACAUCUCCAAUAAGAUGUUUAUUGGACGUCCUGACCUGAAUAUUCCAGAGAAAUUUUGAACUCAAAAUGUCUAUCCAAAAUUCAAUUCAUCUUUCUCUCUAAACUUUCUUCUCUUUCUAACCUCCCAUCUGUCCCCAAUUUCUCUUUCCUAACUAUUACUGUCAAGAGUCCCAGUUGCCCAGGUUCACAUCCUAGAUGCCAUCUAUGACUCCUUAUUCUUUCCUACCUCCCCAUGUCUAAUCUGUUGCCAAAGUCUGUCAAUAUUAUCUUCGUCACAUUCUAGCAUAUUUUCCCUUCUACCCUCU
rnacentral:lncRNA from 1 species